AUGCACGCUGGCGGCGUGCCUCAUCCCUGCCAGUCGAGCGAACAGACGAGGAGCUUGCUCCUCUGACGUUAGCGGCGGACGGGUGAGUAACACGUGGAUAACCUACCUAUAAGACUGGGAUAACUUCGGGAAACCGGAGCUAAUACCGGAUAAUAUAUUGAACCGCAUGGUUCAAUAGUGAAAGACGGUUUUGCUGUCACUUAUAGAUGGAUCCGCGCCGCAUUAGCUAGUUGGUAAGGUAACGGCUUACCAAGGCGACGAUGCGUAGCCGACCUGAGAGGGUGAUCGGCCACACUGGAACUGAGACACGGUCCAGACUCCUACGGGAGACAGCAGUAGGGAAUCUUCCGCAAUGGGCGAAAGCCUGACGGAGCAACGCCGCGUGAGUGAUGAAGGUCUUCGGAUCGUAAAACUCUGUUAUUAGGGAAGAACAAAUGUGUAAGUAACUAUGCACGUCUUGACGGUACCUAAUCAGAAAGCCACGGCUAACUACGUG
rnacentral:rRNA from 1 species